rnacentral:rRNA from 1 species
UACGUAGGGGGCUAGCGUUGUCCGGAUUUAUUGGGCGUAAAGAGCGUGUAGGCGGCCAGGUAGGUCUGCUGUGAAAACUCGAGGCUCAACCUCGAGACGUCGGCGGAAACCAUCUGGCUAGAGUCCGGAAGAGGAGAGUGGAAUUCCUGGUGUAGCGGUGAAAUGCGCAGAUAUCAGGAAGAACACCCGUGGCGAAGGCGGCUCUCUGGGACGGUACUGGCGCUGAGACGCGAAAGCGUGGGGAGCGAACAGG